UGUAAACAGCGGUUCCUGUACGAUCACCGAAGUUAAGCAACGUCGAGCCUAGUCAGUACCUAGAUGGGGGUCACCGCUUGGGAAUACUAGGUGUUGUAA
rnacentral:rRNA from 1 species